rnacentral:rRNA from 1 species
AUUGAACGCUGGCGGCAGGCCUAACACAUGCAAGUCGAGCGAGCGGCGGACGGGUGAGUAAUGUAUGGGGACUGCCCGAUAGAGGUGGAUAACUACUGGAAACGGUAGCUACUACCGCAUACUAUCGGAUAACCCAUAUGGGAUUAGCUAGUAGGUGAGGUAAUGGCUCACCUAGGCGACGAUCCCUAGCUGGUCUGAGAGGAUGAUCAGCCACACUGGGACUGAGACACGGCCCAGACUCCUACGGAGGCAGCAGUGGGGAAUAUUGCACAGUGGGCGCAAGCCUGAUGCAGCCAGGCAGCGUGUAUGAAGAAGGCCCUAGGGUUGUAAAGUACUUUCAGUCGGGAGGCGUUAGCGAAAGAAGAAGCACCGGCUAACUCCGUGCCAGCAGCCGCGGUAAUUC